AUACUGUCCUUAUUGCCAAGGAAGGAGAGAGAGGUACAGCAACAAAUCAACUUUCCCACAGACAGUAGCUUUGUCACAUAUCUACUAGCUGAUAUGAAAAUUCUUCAUUCUUGGUUAGGAGCUGGACAUUUGCUAUUUUGAUUACUUCUCCCAUCACCAGACCCUGUCCUCUGGAAUAGCAUCCCCCUGGAAAUAUACAUGGAGUUCAUCCUACUUGUUUUUCCAAAGUCUCUUAAGACCUGGCUUUGGUACCAGAGUUGGAGCUAGGGCAAUUGUUGAACCCCUCUUGAGUUUUUGGGGAAUGUUGUUUUGAU